CUCCUCGCGGUCCCCCGUCUGUGCGGCACGUCAGACGUGUGACUGACUGAGUUUGGACUACUGGAUCCCGCGGACGAAUGCAAGACUUCUAUAGCUUUAAUACAUGUGGUGCGAGUGCGCUUAGGAAAUGGGAAGAUAUCUUGUAUUGUGUGCAGUGUUGUGUUGUGCGUGUGUCUACGUCUUCGAGCUGCCCAUAGAACUCUGGACGUGUGACUGGAUGAGUCUGGACGUUGGAUCCCAUGGACGGAUCCAAGACUUAGCUUUAAGACAUGUGAUGCAA